rnacentral:rRNA from 1 species
UACGGGAGGCAGCAGUGGGGAAUAUUGCACAAUGGGGGAAACCCUGAUGCAGCGACGCCGCGUGGAGGAAGAAGGUCUUCGGAUUGUAAACUCCUGUUGUUGGGGAAGAUAAUGACGGUACCCNACAAGGAAGUGACGGCUAANUACGUGCCAGCAGCCGCGGUAANACGUAGGUCNCAAGCGUUGUCCGGAAUUACUGGGUGUAAAGGGAGCGCAGGCGGGAAGACAAGUUGGAAGUGAAAUCUAUGGGCUCAACCCNUAAACUGCUUUCNAAACUGUUUUUCUUGAGUAGUGCAGAGGUAGGCGGAAUUCCCGGUGUAGCGGUGGAAUGCGUAGAUAUNGGGAGGAACACCAGUGGCGAAGGCGGCNUACUGGGCACCAACUGACGCUGAGGCUCGAAAGUGUGGGUAGCAAACAGGAUUAGAUACCCUGGUAGUCCACACUGUAAACGAUGAUUACUAGGUGUUGGGGGAUUGACCCCCUCAGUGCCGCAGUUAACACAAUAAGUAAUCCACCUGGGGAGUACGANCGCNNGGUUGAAACUCANAGGAAUUGACGG